AUGUUUGAUAAAUGGGCUAUAUUAUGCAACCCCAAAUCUAAUUAUUUAAUUGAUGUCCACAUGUUUUGGUGUUCACAUGCCGACAGCUUAUUGUUUAAACUACUGAACCAUUACUAAUGGUGUGGUUCCAGUUUAGUUUUAUAGUUUAGGCUUUAUUGGCCCUUUAUUUAAAAUGAAUAGUAUAUAAAAUAAAAGUGCAAAAAUUGAAGUUAUCCAAAUUUAAUAAAGUUGUUCGUUUUUUUCAUAAUACAUACUUAAAAUAGGAUGCCAAAAAAUAGAAGUUUAGAAAUGGCUGUCCAUCCAAAAUAACCAGAAUAAAAGGUUAAUCUGAAAUACCUAAACAAAGUUUUAAAAGUUGUAUAGCAUCCAAAGCUUAAGAUAAAAUACAUACAAAGCCCAACAAUUCCACUUCAAAGUUCAAAUAUAAUAACCCCAGUCUUUUUAUGACAACUAAACUUAAGAUAAAAUACAAAUAUAUUAUUAUAUAUAUAAUAUGAAAUAACAAAACCGAUCUAUAAAACCAAACUGAUGACCGAUUUGCACUUGUGAUCUUUCAUGGUUUAUAACCGAACUAUGAACAUUACUAGUUUAAUUAAACCCAGUAAGAAAUUGUCACGCAGAUUUAUACCAUGGUUUUUUUUAUAAAAAUUAAAAAAAAACAUAUCUUAUUCAGAAUUGUACGUCAUGACUCUCUUCUAUUAUUGAAGAUGAAAAAAUAAAAUCCAUUAAUUGAUAAACAAACUAAUAAAAACAUUACUCACCAGUGUAACCUCUUUCCAGCAUCGUUCCACCACCUUUUCAGCCACCAUUUUAUCUUUUUAGCAAUAGAAC
rnacentral:lncRNA from 1 species